CGUAGGAAGCUACCCGAUAGAGGGGGAUACCAGUUGGAGACGACUGUUAAUACCGCAUAAUGUCUACGGACCAAAGUGUGGGACCUUCGGGCCACAUGCUAUCGGAUGCGCCUACGUGGGAUUAGCUAGUUGGUGAGGUAAUGGCUCACCAAGGCGACGAUCUCUAGCUGGUUUGAGGGGAUGAUCAGCCACACUGGAACUGAGACACGGUCCAGACUCCUACGGGAGGCAGCAGUGGGGAAUAUUGGACAAUGGGCGCAAGCCUGAUCCAGCCAUGCCGCGUGUGUGAAGAAGGCCUUCGGGUUGUAAAGCACUUUCAGCGAGGAGGAAGAGUUGUGUGUUAAUAGUACACAGCUUUGACGUUACUCGCAGAAGAAGCACCGGCUAACUCUGUGCCAGCAGCCGCGGUAAUACAGAGGGUGCAAGCGUUAAUCGGAAUUACUGGGCGUAAAGCGCACGUAGGCGGUUUUUUAAGUCAGAUGUGAAAGCCCCGGGCUCAACCUGGGAAUUGCAUUUGAAACUGGAAAACUAGAGUGUGUGAGAGGGGGGUAGAAUUCCAAGUGUAGCGGUGAAAUGCGUAGAGAUUUGGAGGAAUACCAGUGGCGAAGGCGGCCCCCUGGCACAACACUGACGCUCAGGUGCGAAAGCGUGGGGAGCAAACAGGAUUAGAUACCCUGGUAGUCCACGCCGUAAACGAUGUCUACUAGCUGUUCGUGGUCUUGUACUGUGAGUAGCGCAGCUAACGCACUAAGUAGACCGCCUGGGGGAGUACGGUCGCAAGAUUAAAACUCAAAUGAAUUGACGGGGGCCCGCACAAGCGGUGGAGCAUGUGGUUUAAUUCGACGCAACGCGAAGAACCUUACCUACUCUUGACAUCUA
rnacentral:rRNA from 1 species